GACGGAGGAUGCAAGUGUUAUCCGGAAUCACUGGGCGUAAAGCGUCUGUAGGUGGUUUAAAAAGUCCACUGUUAAAGAUUGAAGCUUAACUUCAAAAAUGCCGUGGAAACUUUUAAACUUGAGUAUGAUAGGGGUAGAGGGAAUUUCCAGUGGAGCGGUGAAAUGCGUAGAGAUCGGAAAGAACACCAACGGCGAAAGCACUCUGCUGGGCCGACACUGACACUGAGAGACGAAAGCUAGGGGAGCGAAUGGG
rnacentral:rRNA from 1 species